rnacentral:rRNA from 1 species
UACGGAGGGUGCAAGCGUUAUCCGGAUUCACUGGGUUUAAAGGGUGCGUAGGUGGGCAGGUAAGUCAGUGGUGAAAUCUCCGGGCUUAACCCGGAAACUGCCGUUGAUACUAUCUGUCUUGAAUAUCGCGUAGGUAAGCGGAAUAUGUCAUGUAGCGGUGAAAUGCUUAGAUAUGACAUAGAACACCAAUUGCGAAGGCAGCUUACUACACAGUUAUUGACGCUGAGGCACGAAAGCGUGGGGAUCAAACAGG